UCCAAUCGAACUCGGAGAUAGCUGGUUCUCCCCGAAAUAGCUUUAGGGCUAGCCUGAGGUAGUAAGUAUAGGCGGUAGAGCACUGAUCGGGCUAGGGGCCGUAAAGGUUACCGAACCCUGUCAAACUCCGAAUGGAUAUACUGUAGAGCCUUGGAGUCAGACUACGAGUGAUAAGAUCCGUGGUCAAAAGGGAAACAGCCCAGACCACCAGCUAAGGUCCCCAAUGUCGUACUAAGUGGAAAAGGAUGUGGGGUUUCAUAAACAACCAGGAUGUUGGCUCAGAAGCAGCCACCAUUUAAAGAGUGCGUAAUAGCUCACUGGUCGAGAGACCCUGCGCCGAAGAUUCCCGGGGCUAAAGUACGAAACCGAAGCUGUGGCUGUAUACGUAAAGUAUACGGGGUAGGGGAGCGUUCCCAUAGGGUAGAAGUCGAACUGGAAGGUUCGGUGGACUUGUGGGAAGUGAGAAUGUUGGUAUGAGUAGCGAAAAGAAAGGUGAGAAUCCUUUCCACCGAAAGCAUAAGGAUUCCUGAGCAACGAUCGUCGUCUCAGGGUAAGUCGGGACCUAAUCCGAGGCAGAGAGCGUAGGAGAUGGACAACUGGUUGAUAUUCCAGUACCGGUAGUAAUUGUUUGAGCAAUGGAGUGACACAGAAGGGCAGGCAAGCAUGCGAAUGGAAGAGCAUGUGUAAGCGUGUAGGGUGGUGCAUAGGCAAAUCCGUGCACUGAAAGCCUGAGGCGUGAUGCGGAGUGAGCAGAGAUGCGAGCGAAGUUGUUGACCCCACACUGUCGAGAAAAGCUUCUAGUGAGAGAGCUACCGCCCGUACCGUAAACCGACACAGGUAUGCGGGGAGAGAAUCCUAAGGUGCGCGGGAGAACCCUCGUUAAGGAACUCGGCAAAAUGUACCCGUAACUUCGGGAUAAGGGUAGCCACUGUUGUGAAGUCCCAUGCGGAUGGAGCAUAGAGUGGUCGCAGAGAAGAGGCCCAAGCGACUGUUUACCAUAAACACAGGUGCCUGCUAAAGCGAAAGCUGACGUAUAGGUGCUGACACCUGCCCAGUGCCGGAAGGUUAAGGAAGGAUGUUCGGAUUAGUCCAAAGCAUUCGACUGAAGCCCCGGUGAACGGCGGCCGUAACUAUAACGGUCCUAAGGUAGCGAAAUUCCUUGUCGGGUAAG
rnacentral:rRNA from 1 species